rnacentral:rRNA from 1 species
UACAGAGGUCUCAAGCGUUGUUCGGAUUCAUUGGGCGUAAAGGGUGCGUAGGCGGCGCGGUAAGUCGGGUGUGAAAUCUCGGAGCUUAACUCCGAAACUGCAUUCGAUACUGCCGUGCUUGAGGACUGGAGAGGAGACUGGAAUUUACGGUGUAGCGGUGAAAUGCGUAGAUAUCUGGAGGAACACCGGUGGCGAAGGCGGCAUCCUGGACCGGCAUUGACGCUGAGGCGCGAAAGCCAGGGGAGCAAACAGG